rnacentral:rRNA from 1 species
CGGCGGACGGGUGAGUAAUGUCUGGGAAACUGCCCGAUGGAGGGGGAUAACUACUGGAAACGGUAGCUAAUACCGCAUAAUGUCUGCGGACCAAAGCGGGGGACCUCCGGGCCUCGCGCCAUCAGAUGAACCCAUAUGGGAUUAGCUAGUAGGUAAGGUAACGGCUUACCUAGGCGACGAUCCCUAGCUGGUCUGAGAGGAUGAUCAGCCACACUGGGACUGAGACACGGCCCAG